CUCAAAUCAGGUAGGACUACCCGCUGAACUUAAGCAUAUCAUAAAC
rnacentral:rRNA from 1 species